rnacentral:rRNA from 1 species
GAUGAACGCUGGCGGUAUGCUUAACACAUGCAAGUCGAACGGACUCUUCGGAGUUAGUGGCGGACGGGUGAGUAACGCGUGAGAAUCUGGCUUUGGGUUCGGGACAACCACUGGAAACGGUGGCUAAUACCGGAUGUGCCGAGAGGUAAAAGAGAAAUUGCCUGAAGAUGAGCUCGCGUCUGAUUAGCUAGUUGGUGAGGUAAAGGCUCACCAAGGCAGCGAUCAAUAGCUGGUCUGAGAGGAUGACCAGCCACACUGGGACUGAGACACGGCCCAGACUCCUACGGGAGGCAGCAGUGGGGAAUUUUCCGCAAUGGGCGAAAGCCUGACGGAGCAAUACCGCGUGAGGGAAGAAGGCUCUUGGGUUGUAAACCUCUUUUCUUAGGGAAGAACAAAAUGACGGUACCUAAGGAAUCAGCAUCGGCUAACUCCGUG